rnacentral:rRNA from 1 species
CACCAGACUCCUACGGGAGGCAGCAGUGAGGAAUAUUGGUCAAUGGGCGCGAGCCUGAACCAGCCAAGUCGCGUGAGGGAAGACGGUCCUAUGGAUUGUAAACCUCUUUUGUCGGGGAGCAAAAGACGCCACGCGUGGCGUUCCGAGAGUACCCGAAGAAAAAGCAUCGACUAACUCCGUGCCAGCAGCCGCGGUAAUACGGAGGAUGCGAGCGUUAUCCGGAUUUAUUGGGUUUAAAGGGUGCGCAGGCGGAACGUCAAGUCAGCGGUAGAAUUUCGGGGCUCAACCCCGUCGUGCCGUUGAAACUGGCGUUCUUGAGUGAGCGAGAAGUAUGCGGAAUGCGUGGUGUAGCGGUGAAAUGCAUAGAUAUCACGCAGAACUCCGAUUGCGAAGGCAGCAUACCGGCGCUCAACUGACGCUCAUGCACGAAAGCGUGGGUAUCGAACAGGAUUAGAUACCCGAGUA